CCAGACUCCUACGGGAGGCAGCAGUGGGGAAUAUUGGACAAUGGACCAAGAGUCUGAUCCAGCAAUUCUGUGUGCACGAUGAAGUUUUUCGGAAUGUAAAGUGCUUUCAGUUGGGAAGAAAAAAAUGACGGUACCAACAGAAGAAGUGACGGCUAAAUACGUGCCAGCAGCCGCGGUAAUACGUAUGUCACAAGCGUUAUCCGGAUUUAUUGGGCGUAAAGCGCGUCUAGGUGGUUAUGUAAGUCUGAUGUGAAAAUGCAGGGCUCAACUCUGUAUUGCGUUGGAAACUGUGUAACUAGAGUACUGGAGAGGUAAGCGGAACUACAAGUGUAGAGGUGAAAUUCGUAGAUAUUUGUAGGAAUGCCGAUGGGGAAGCCAGCUUACUGGACAGAUACUGACGCUGAAGCGCGAAAGCGUGGGUAGCAAACAGGAUUAGAUACCCUGGUAGUCCACGCCGUAAACGAUGAUUACUAGGUGUUGGGGGUCGAACCUCAGCGCCCAAGCAAACGCGAUAAGUGUACCGCCUGGGGAGUAUGCCCGCAAGGGUGAAACUCAAAGGAAUUGACGGGGGCCCGCACAAG
rnacentral:rRNA from 1 species